rnacentral:rRNA from 1 species
CCUACGGGAGGCAGCAGUGGGGAAUAUUGGGCAAUGGGCGCAAGCCUGACCCAGCAACGCCGCGUGAAGGAAGAAGGCUUUCGGGUUGUAAACUUCUUUUCUCAGGGACGAAGAAAGUGACGGUACCUGAGGAAUAAGCCACGGCUAACUACGUGCCAGCAGCCGCGGUAAUACGUAGGUGGCAAGCGUUAUCCGGAUUUAUUGGGUGUAAAGGGCGUGUAGGCGGGAGCGCAAGUCAGAUGUGAAAACUCAGGGCUCAACCCUGAGCCUGUAUUUGAAACUGUGUUUCUUGAGUGCUGGGGAGGCAAUCGGAAUUCCGUGUGUAGCGGUGAAAUGCGUAGAUAUACGGAGGAACACCAGUGGCGAAGGCGGAUUGCUGGACAGUAACUGACGCUGAGGCGCGAAAGCGUGGGGAGCAAACAGGAUUAGAUACCCUUGUAGUC